rnacentral:rRNA from 1 species
CUCUGAUGUUAGCGGCGGAUGGGUGAGUAACACGUGGGCAACCUGCCCUACAGAUGGGGAUAACUCCGGGAAACCGGGGCUAAACCGAAUAAACAGUUUGUUCGCAUGAACAAACUCUGAAAGACGGUUUCGGCUGUCACUGUAGGAUGGGCCCGCGGCGCAUUAGCUAGUUGGUGGGAUAAUGGCCUACCAAGGCAACGAUGCGUAGCCGACCUGAGAGGGUGAUCGGCCACACUGGGACUGAGACACGGCCCAGACUCCUACGGGAGGCAGCAGUAGGGAAUCUUCCACAAUGGACGAAAGUCUGAUGGAGCAAUGCCGCGUGAGCGAAGAAGGUUUUCGGAUCGUAAAGCUCUGUUGUGAGGGAAGAACAAGUAUCGGAGCACUGCCGGUACCUUGACGGUACCUCAUUAGAAAGCCACGGCUAACUACGUGGCAGCAGCCGCGGUAAUACGUAGGUGGCAAGCGUUGUCCGGAAUUAUUGGGCGUAAAGCGCGCGCAGGCGGCCUUUUAACUCUGAUGUGAAAGCCCACGGCUCAACCGUGGAAGGUCAUUGGAAACUGAAAGGCUUGAGUACAGAAGAGGAAAGCGGAAUUCCACGUGUAGCGGUGAAAUGCGUAGAGAUGUG